GAUUCUGAGAUAAAGAAAGAGAAAGUAUAGUAUGAGCAGCUAAAUGACACAAUUAAAUGAAACAAGGACCUGCAGAUCUUAGACUCUAGUAAAAAUCAAAAGGGAUUUAAAGAUCUAAGCCAUAAAUAGUAAAAAAACUAUUUAGAAACAUAAAUGAAAAAGCAAGCAAUAGGCAUUGAAAUGAAAAGAAAAAAACAUACUUCAAC
rnacentral:misc_RNA from 1 species